GAAAAUAACAGGGAAAUAACACAAAAUCUAAAGUCUUAACUAUAAAGGAAAUUAACAUUUUAAUAAUAGAUGAUAAGUUGAUUUACUGAAUAAAUCUGUUCUUCGAAUAGUAAAUGUCUCUGUUGGGAGUUUUGGAAAGAAUUUGAUAGUUAAAUUUGGUCUAUCGCCUGGCUUCUUGGGAACAUCCUUUCUCUGGAGGAUUUUACCCACAUAAAGUUGGAGCCUUAUCUCUUCUCCAGCCCCUCCAGCCCUGCCCUAGUUGCAGGGCUUCCUCCAAAUUGUAUUGAAUGACACUUGGACACUGCUCUCUGAUCUCAGCUUUGGAUCCUUGGUAAUGUUGUCUCUGCUUCUGUGUGAUCAUUUACUCCCCACCCCAUUUCCCAACCCCCAAACCAAGGCAUCAACUGAUUAAUUUCUUUUUCCUGUCUAGAAGUCUAAAUUUAUUCCUGGGUGUUUUGCAGUUGGUGAUGGUUAGGGACAGCUGUUCUCCCAUGCUUUGUCUGAACAGUUUUUCCGUGAUGAAGUCAGCAAAAUAAUACCAUAUGAGGGCCCUGGCAAACAAAGCCUUGGUUGAUACUCUCUCUAAAGAGAGAAAGCUCACUCUUCCUAACUUAAAAAAAAAAAAAAGAAAAAAAGAAAAAA
rnacentral:lncRNA from 1 species